rnacentral:tRNA from 1 species
UCCUCUGUAGUUCAGUCGGUAGAACGGCGGACUGUUAAUCCGUAUGUCACUGGUUCGAGUCCAGUCAGCGGGC